GUCUUUUUGGUAAUUAUUUAAGGUUUGGCCUGCUCCAUGAGUAUUUAAAUAGCCGCAGUAUUUUGACUGUGCAAAGGUAGCAUAAUCAUUAGUUUUUUAAUUGAAAGCUGGAAUGAAUGGUCGGAUGAGAAAGCUUCUGUCUCACUUUAAUUUUAUUUGAAUUUUAUUUUUAAGUCAAAAAGCUUAAAUUUUAUAAAAAGACGAGAAGACCCUGUAGAGUUUAAUAAAUUAAUAAAGUGAUGUUCAAUGGGUUUUAUUGUGGUUACUUUUUGGUUUAUUUUGUUGGGGUGACAAAAGAAUUGAUUUAACUUCUUUGAAUUUAAACACUGAUUUGUGAUUGAAGGAUCCUGAUAUUUGGAUUAAAAGAAUAAAUUACCUCAGGGAUAACAGCGUAAUUCUUUUGGAGAGUUCUAAUCAAUAAAAGGGAUUGCGACCUCGAUGUUGGAUUAAAGUUAAAUUUUGGUGCAGAGGCUAGAAUUUUGAGUCUGUUCGACUCUUGAAACUUUACAUGAUCUGAGUUUAAACCGGCGUGAGCCAGGUUGGUUUCUAUCUUUUAUAGUUAAAAUAUUUUAGUACGAAAGGACCAGAUAUUUAAAUAAUAUUUUUUAUUAGAAUAAGAGUGUUAUUUUGGCAGACUAGUGCGAUAGAUUUAGAAUCUUUAUAUGUAAUUAUAUUACAGAUAACAAUUUAUUUUUUUGAUUUGUUUUUAUUAUUUAUUUCUAUAUUGAUUUUAAUUGUUUGUGUGUUAGUGGGCGUAGCGUUUUUGACUUUACUUGAGCGUAAGGUUUU
rnacentral:rRNA from 1 species